CUCAGCCCCUCCCAGCCUGCUCCACUCCCUGCCUGGACAAAGCUGCAGGCAUUUCCUCCUCCUCUGUGUGUGCAGAGCACCAGGGAACCUGAUGAAUGAACGAGGCGUCAUGUGGUUACUCCUCUGUAAGGACCUGGGUUCUCUGUCCACCACCAGGGCUCAGGAGACCAGCUGGAUGGAGAGUAUAAAUGGUGACCCUAUAAGCGACAGAUGGAGAAGGCCAUGUGGAGACAAAGGCAAAGGUGGAAUGGAUGCAGCCACAAACCUAGGGAUUCCUGGAGCCGCCAGAAGCUGGAAGAGGCAAAGAGGGAUUUCUCUGUAGAACCUGAGGAGGCAGUGUGGAUCUUGAUUUGAGACUUCUGGCCUCCAGACCUGUGAGAGAAUAAACUCCUGCUG